ACGGAAGGCAGCAGUGGGGAAUAUUGCACAAUGGGGGAAACCCUGAUGCAGCAACGCCGCGUGAAGGAAGACGGUCUUCGGAUUGUAAACUUUUGUUCUUAGUGAAGAUAAUGAUGGUAGCUAAGGAGAAAGCCACGGCUAACUACGUGCCAGCAGCCGCGGUAAUACGUAGGUGGCAAGCGUUGUCCGGAAUCACUGGGUGUAAAGGGAGCGCAGGCGGGAAAUCAAGUUGGAUGUGAAAUGUCGGGGCUUAACCCCGGAACUGCAUCCAAAACUGAUUUUCUUGAGUGAAGUAGAGGUAGGCGGAAUUCCGAGUGUAGCGGUGAAAUGCGUAGAUAUUCGGAGGAACACCAGUGGCGAAGGCGGCCUACUGGGCUUUAACUGACGCUGAGGCUCGAAAGCGUGGGGAGCAAACAGGAUUAGAUACCCUGGUA
rnacentral:rRNA from 1 species